UGUCACACGGAGCGGGGCCGCGGCCGGAGCGGGCUGGGGGAGCCCCUGAUACACGGUUUAUAGUCAGAAGAGGCUUGGGAUGAAGGCAAGGCUGGGAAAUCUCCUCUCUUGGAAGCAGAGAUGUGGUUCUCCUGGAGCAGCAGCUGCUGGUCUGCACACCCAGCAUCUCCAGCCGUGGUGGGCAAUGGCCGUGGGAGAGCCCUCACUUGUGUGUCUGAGGUGACAAAGGGACACCACAGGGAAAAGUGAAAUAAAGAUGUUUGAUUUA